rnacentral:rRNA from 1 species
UCGAGGAUCUUCGGCAAUGGGCGCAAGCCUGACCGAGCGACGCCGCGUGUGCGAUGAAGGCCUUCGGGUUGUAAAGCACUGUCGAGGGGGAUGAAGCCGCAAGGUUGACAUAUCCCUGGAGGAAGCACGGGCUAAGUUCGUGCCAGCAGCCGCGGUAAGACGAACCGUGCUAACGUUAUUCGGAAUCACUGGGCUUAAAGGGCGCGUAGGCGGGUGACCAAGUCAGGGGUGAAAUCUUUCGGCUUAACCGGAAAACAGCUUCUGAUACUGGUCGUCUGGAGUGAGGUAGGGGCAUGCGGAACUUCCGGUGGAGCGGUGAAAUGCGUAGAUAUCGGAAGGAACACCGGUGGCGAAGGCGGCGUGCUGGACCUCAACUGACGCUGAGGCGCGAAAGCCAGGGGAGCAAACGGGAUUAGAUACCCCCGUAGUCC